GAUAUGGCUCAGGAGAGACAGCUCCAGCCUGCAAUAAAGCCCAAAGGGCAAAAAUUGACAUCUGUAGAAUUUGACCUUGAAAAGUAGUUCAGUGCUGCCUGGGCAAUUUCCUGUCACCAGGAGAAAAUAAGUUUU